ACCUGAAAGUGGUCAUGGUUGUUCAGCAAAGUCUCUGCACCACUUUGUCUCAUCAAAGCAAAUGGGAUGUUUGGGUUAGGUUCAAGCUAUGUAUAUCCCUUCUGGCUUCUAGGCUGCUACAUUCUUUAGCCUGAUUAAGGUGGGCUAACCACCACAUUAUCUCCUCAUCAUACUCAUGAUGUGACAUCGAGGCCAUCAUCAGUGAUUAAUCUAACCAAGUAUUUUUAUAGGU
rnacentral:lncRNA from 1 species